rnacentral:lncRNA from 1 species
CUACCUGUGUCUAGGAGGAGGGGAAGUUCUGGGGAAGCAGCAGCAAGCCUUCGUGCCCGAGAGGAGGCCGCCGGGCCAGGCAGGGCGCCGGGUCUCCCGGGAGCUGCGCCCGGAACUCUAAGGCCUGGCAGCGAACCCUUCUCAAGGGCAAAAGGAGCCGGCCUGGGGCCCUGGCGCGGGCAAGCCGGGCCCCGCCGCCGGCAGGGCCCCGGGAGGGGAACAAAGGGGCCAGCGGGGAAGUCGGCAGCAGCCUGGCCGACCUCACUUGGCGCCGGGGUCUCGCUUUCCGCCAGUCGCAGGGCGUCCGGGAUCCUGGCCCCCACGCAGGGCCCUUCCGACGGUCCGAGGCGCUCCCGCCUCCCCUUCCCGCAGGCUCUUACUCGGGCUUGUCGUUCCAAACCGCUCGGGUCCAGCUCCCAGCAGGCCGCGGGCAGAGCCAGGCCCGGCCGCGGCCCUAGAGUUCCCAAGAAGCCGCAGGCCGCGCAGGUCGAACCGGGCAGGCGGCACAGGAAAAGCCGCGCCUCGUCCCUCCCCUUCCUCCGCGGGGACCUGGUGACAGGGAAGCGAGAGGUUCUCCCGUGCGGCAGCAGCCAGCGCACGUCCCGUUCCCAGCACGCGGCUCCUCAGGCCCUGCAGCUCAGAGGCCCGCGCGGUGCUGCGGGCGGCGGCGGCGGCGGCGAGGGGGGGAGGCCCCGUCCAUCGCGAACCGGGAGGGGGAGGGGAGGAGGGUCGAGCGAGAGCCAGGCGGGGAAGCUGCCGAGGGCAGCCGAGCCCUGCGGAGGCGGAGCAAAUCCGCUCCCCCGGCGGCGACCCCGCCGGCGGCCACCUGGGGCGCUGCGGAGACGGCCGACCGCCGCACAGGGGCGCCAACUGGGGACGCCGCGUCGCCGCCGCGUCGCCGCCCCUGCCCCGGCGCUCUUGUCCCCGCCGCCUCGGGCUGAGUCGUACGUUUAUGCCGCGACUUUUCUAUGGUGCGCCCUGGCGCCCUUCUCGCUUCCCUGUCAGUCCGAGCGCCCUCGUGCACGCACGUCCAGCUUGCUUGGCGCGGUGGCUAACACUUUGCGCACUACCGCGGAGGGCGUCGCACCGCACAGCACAGCAAAGCUGCGGCCCAACCUGUCCCAGCUGAGCCUUCUGCCCAGGCCACCGCACUCCGCCACGAUCUUCCCUCCUCGCGCACGGAAGUGCGUCGCGUAA